CCUACGGGUGACAGCAGUGGGGAAUAUUGCACAAUGGGGGAAACCCUGAUGCAGCGACGCCGCGUGAGUGAGGAAGUAUUUCGGUAUGUAAAGCUCUAUCAGCGGGGAAGAAGAAAGACGGUACCUGACUCAGAAGCCCCUGCUAACUACGUGCCAGCAGCCGCGGUAAUACGGAGGGGGCAAGCGUUAUCCGGAUUUACUGGGUGUAAAGGGAGGGUAGAGGGCUGUGCAAUGCUGAAGUGAAAUCCCAGGGCAAAACCCUGGGACUGCUUUGGAAACUGGGGAUCGAGAGUGUGGGAGAGGUAAGCGGAAUGCGUGGUGUAGCGGUGAAAUGCGUAGAUAUCAGGAGGAACACCAGUGGCGAAGGCGGCUUACUGGAUAGUAACUGACGUUGAGGCUCGUAAGCGUGGGGAGCAAACAGGAUUAGAUACCCUAGUAGUC
rnacentral:rRNA from 1 species